GACGAACGCUGGCGGCGUGCUUAACACAUGCAAGUCGAACGGAAAGGCCCUGCUUUUGUGGGGUGCUCGAGUGGCGAACGGGUGAGUAACACGUGAGUAACCUGCCCUUGACUUUGGGAUAACUUCAGGAAACUGGGGCUAAUACCGGAUAGGAGCUCCUGCUGCAUGGUGGGGGUUGGAAAGUUUCGGCGGUUGGGGAUGGACUCGCGGCUUAUCAGCUUGUUGGUGGGGUAGUGGCUUACCAAGGCUUUGACGGGUAGCCGGCCUGAGAGGGUGACCGGCCACAUGGGGACUGAGAUACGGCCCAGACUCCUACGGGAGGCAGCAGUGGGGAAUAUUGCACAAUGGGCGGAAGCCUGAUGCAGAAACGCCGGGGGCGGGAUGACGGCCUUCGGGUUGUAAACCGCUGUCGCCUGUGACGAAGCGUGAGUGACGGUAAUGGGUAAAGAAGCACCGGCUAACUACGUG
rnacentral:rRNA from 1 species